rnacentral:rRNA from 1 species
AUUGAACGCUGGCGGCAUGCCUUACACAUGCAAGUCGAACGGCAGCGGGCCCUUCGGGGUGCCGGCGAGUGGCGAACGGGUGAGUAAUGCAUCGGAACGUACCCGGGAGAGGGGGAUAAUCGGCCGAAAGGCUGGCUAAUACCGCAUGAACUCGGAAGAGCAAAGCGGGGGACCUUCGGGCCUCGCGCUCUCGGAGCGGCCGAUGUCCGAUUAGGCUAGUUGGUGGGGUAAAGGCCCACCAAGGCGACGAUCGGUAGCGGGUCUGAGAGGACGAUCCGCCACACUGGGACUGAGACACGGCCCAGACUCCUACGGGAGGCAGCAGUGGGGAAUCUUGGACAAUGGGCGCAAGCCUGAUCCAGCAAUGCCGCGUGGGUGAAGAAGGCCUUCGGGUUGUAAAGCCCUUUCGGCGGGGAAGAAAUCGGUCAGGCGAAUAGUCUGGCUGGAUGACGGUACCCGCAGAAGAAGCACCGGCUAACUACGUG